rnacentral:rRNA from 1 species
GUAGGGAAUAUUGGGCAAUGGAUGCAAGUCUGACCCAGCCAUCCCGCGUGCCGGAAGAAGGCCCUCAGGGUUGUAAACGGCUUUUGACGGUGAAGAAUCGACAGGAUGCGUCCUGUUUUGACGGUAGCCGUUGAAUAAGCACCGGCUAACUCCGUGCCAGCAGCCGCGGUAAUACGGAGGGUGCGAGCGUUGUCCGGCUUUAUUGGGUUUAAAGGGUGCGUAGGCUGGUAGGUCAGUCAGAGGUGAAAAGCUGUCGCUUAACGAUAGUCUUGCCGCAGAUACUUCCUUUCUUGGAUGAGUAGGAGGCCACUGGAACGGAUGGUGUAGCGGUGAAAUGCAUAGAUAUCAUCCAGAACACCGAUUGCGAAGGCAGGUGGCUGUACCUUAAUCGACGCUGAUGCACGAAAGCAUGGGGAGCAAACAGGAUUAGAAACCCUUGUAGUCC